AACUUUGUUCUCGUAAAGUGCUUGAGGCAAGAGGACGGGAAUAAUUUAUGCGGGUUCUACGUUUGCGAGUUCAUCCGCCAGAAUACCCAUCAUGUGAGGGACAUUUUGGAACAACUUGAUAUCGAACGGUUGCGGGACGGUCUUCUAGCAACAGAGCGUGUACGAGCAAUUCAAGAAGAACUGGCGGGGUUCUUACUUGAGCAAGUCAUAGCUCCAGAUGGAGAACACUAUGUGGACAACCGCCAAUAUCAAAGUUGAUGUAGACAUAUAUAUAUAUGCAUGAACGUGUGUCACUUUGAUCGAUAUAUGUAAUACAAUGGUUUCCUAUAUAUAUAUUUGAAUUGUUUGCAUUAA